GGUUGUAUAGUGUAGUGGUUAGCACUCCGGAUUUUGAUGUUCUUCAUUGAAACCUUCCGGCAACCUGGGUUCGAGUCCCAGUACGACCU